AUUCCUGUGGUUUCUCAAUGUAGGAAUGGAUGGGAAAUAAAAAUUGCCAGUGAGAUUUAAAAAACUAAGUAAAAUUCUACCAGUGUAAAAGGUGCCUGAGAGAAACCAUUUCAGAAAGUUACAGUUCAAAGUUUUUACGUAAUCCUCAGGAUGGUUUAUAGUCGAAUUUAUGAAAACAUCAACACUACCAGAAAAAUCACAUUUUAUAGCAUGUACAACAUAUAAAUAAAUAUAUGCCAGCUGAAAAGAGAGUCUGGGAAUAAUAAAAUUAUAACUAGUUUGAUAAAUGCAAAAAGAGAAAUAGUAUCAAAAUUAAUCUCAGUAAUUCAUUAAAGCAACAAAAAGAUAUUGACUGGAAAAGAUUUAAAAGGUGCAUUUGACUAACAUCUCUUCCUAAUUACCUGUCUUAGGUUAUGGAAUAGAAACUAGUAGACAUGUUAUUGGUCUGCUGAAGUGAACUCUUUUUCUUUAUAGAGAAAAUUUAAGGAAGGUAUCAGUCUAAAUGACACAUAUAUACAUCAGAGUAUAAACCCUUUUUUACGUUUUCUUGUUAUAUAAAUAAACUAUAAUAAUAGAGUUGGCUGGGUUUCUGAGGUGAAAUCCACAGUAAUAUUACUAGGUAGUUCAACAAGCUAAACCAAAUAGUACAGAAAGAGGGUGUAGCUGUUUUAUACUUUUCAUAACAUUUGAGAGUAAGACAUUCGUCUAGGAUGUAAAUGAUCAGCAGGAAUUCAGAUCUGAAAUCUAUUGUCAAGAUAAGGACUGGGGCUCACAUUAUAAAACCUUCGGUAUGACCUUCCAGUACCUGUGGGAGACGGUUCCCCUGUAAUAGAGUUCUUUUGAAGGAGAAAGUUUAUACAAAAAUGAAAUCAGGCCUGUAGCGGAGAAACUCUAAAGUUUGGCGGUGCCCGUGUCAGAGCUGUCCUUCUGUUACAGAGAGCAUCUAGUACACCAGUUUAGAGCCAUCUCUUUACACGUUUCCUAGUUGCCUGCUAAACAGUACUUUGGAUCAUUAUCGUGUCCCACUAAAAUAUGUAAGUAGCUUUUUAUACUCUCUGAGGAGGAGUCUUUAGAUAAAUCUUAAAUUCCACUUCCAGUGACGAUUGAGAUCUUGGACCUGUUAACUUUGAGGAGGCUCGGGGCUCUUCUUUGUGCUCUUAGUUACAUCCUCACCUAAUCUCUCAGGUAGGAAUCUAAGUCUGUGUCCGUCAGCUCCAUAAGCAAGAAUUCUUUAAGGUUGUAGAUAGCCUGGUGAUUUUAGAAGGGUUUGGUGAUUCUCCUUGGCAGAAGUUUAUGGGCAUCUCUUCAGGUAUUCAGUAGCACGGCUUUUGGGGUCGUAAUCUCAGGUUUGAUGCCUGUUUCCCCCGAAGCAGGAACAUUUUCUUGAUUAAUACAGGUGGAAAUCUGGGGAGGUUUUCUUCUUACAGAAGAUGCAUGCAUGGAGAGAGAAUUUGAGGCAUUUCUUCUAAAGAAUCAUACCUGCUGAACAGAAACUUGGACAGUUCUUUGUAAUUCACUGGUUUGCGGUUUAGCCUGUCCUAAUUACAAGAGGUAAUGGUAUUUGUCAAGCCUUUGUAAGACUGGAUUUUUCAUAGUAGAAACUCAUCUUCUACAAUGCAGUUAUUAUAAUUGAAAUGUUACCCUAAAAUUGGAUGAUUUACAAAAACCAAUAAGAUGGAUUUUACCUAUCAACUGUUUUUUAAAAAUAGGAGCAUAUUCUGUAAUAUUUGCUGGUAGCAAUUGCUGUAACAAUUGUUUUAUUGAAAAGAUUGAGUCUCGGAACAGGCUACUUCUACUGUUUAUGACAGAGAGAAAAAGGUGUGUGUGGUUGUCUUUCAGAUAAUUCAGUUCUUAAAAUUCUUAAAAUCAUAAGGAUUUAUUUGAAGAGAUUGCUUUUAAAAAGUUCAAAAUUUUAUGUAGAGGUAGCUCUUGUUUUACCCCAUUGAUAGAUAGUGCCUUCUUAGCUAUAACAAAAGCCCAAUGAGACCAGACAAUCCCAAGUAAAGAAUACAUCUUUUAGAGUCUGAUAUUCCCUUCCUAGUACUAUUGGAGAUGAUGUUGCUUUGAUUUAUUCAUAGAGUAUUUUAAUUGUAGGAACUCUUGAAGAAAAUGGUUGGUUUCUCCUUAACCUGGUUGGUUAAAGUUGCAUUUUAUUAAAAUUGGGUAAAACUAUAAUCAUGAAAACUGGGUAUUUGUAUGUAACUGCCCAUGUUCUUGUAAAAAGCUAUGUCAUAUGCAGAUGAUAAAGACCAAACAAUGGCUGCACUGUAGGUCCGCUUCUUACUUAUACUUGUUCUGCUUCUGUUUAUGUUGUAGACAAUGAAAUUCUAGCAACAUGCUUCAAUUCUGUUAUCUUUUUGAUACUUAUGAAAAUGUAUUAGGUUUUACUAUAUUGUGCUUUUCAAAGCAUAACUCUUAAGAACUUUGUUUUUGCAUAUCGUUUGCUAAUACUUUAUUUUAAUAAAUCUCAAAAUCUGC
rnacentral:lncRNA from 1 species